ensembl:snRNA U6 U6 spliceosomal RNA
GUGCUCUCUUUGGCAGCACAUGUACUAAAAUUGGAACAGUAUAGAGAAGGUUAGCGUGAACCCUCUGCAAGAAUGACAUACAAAUUCACAAAGCAUUCCCUUUAAAA